rnacentral:rRNA from 1 species
GAUGAACGCUGGCGGCGUGCUUAACACAUGCAAGUCGAACGGAAAGGCUCCUGCUUGCAGGGGUACUCGAGUGGCGAACGGGUGAGUAACACGUGGGUGAUCUGCCCUGCACUUCGGGAUAAGCCUGGGAAACUGGGUCUAAUACCGGAUAGGACCACAUUUUGGAUGGUGUGGUGGAAAGUUUUUCGGUGUGGGAUGAGCUCGCGGCCUAUCAGCUUGUUGGUGGGGUAAUGGCCUACCAAGGCGUCGACGGGUAGCCGGCCUGAGAGGGUGUACGGCCACAUUGGGACUGAGAUACGGCCCAGACUCCUACGGGAGGCAGCAGUGGGGAAUAUUGCACAAUGGGCGCAAGCCUGAUGCAGCGACGCCGCGUGGGGGAUGACGGCCUUCGGGUGGUAAACUCCUUUCGCUAGGGACGAAGCGCAAGUGACGGUACCGGGAGAAGAAGCACCGGCUAACUACGU